UACGUAGGGUGCGAGCGUUGUCCGGAAUUAUUGGGCGUAAAGAGCUCGUAGGCGGUCUGUCGCGUCGAUCGUGAAAACUUGGGGCUUAACCCUGAGCUUGCGGUCGAUACGGGCAUGACUGGAGUACUGCAGGGGAGACUGGAAUUCCUGGUGUAGCGGUGGAAUGCGCAGAUAUCAGGAGGAACACCGGUGGCGAAGGCGGGUCUCUGGGCAGUAACUGACGCUGGAGGAGCGAAAAGCCGUGGGGAGCGAACAGG
rnacentral:rRNA from 1 species